UCAUGAAAAGCCAAACUUGUCGUAAGACAGGGACGGAAAGCUACGGGUCUACUAGAUAGCCGGGCUGCCUUGG
rnacentral:ncRNA from 1 species